UUGAUAGCCCUGGAGACUAAAGCCCUCUAUUUAUUCUCAAAGCCAGCAUAGUAGCAAUAUAAGCUUGUUCACACUGCAUGGCAAAUAUGCUCCAGCCCUGUCUUGGAGGGCACACAUCUAGUCGCAAAAGAGUAGUUUAGUCUUCCUGAUCAUUGAUUCCUGGACCUCU
rnacentral:sRNA from 1 species